rnacentral:rRNA from 1 species
UACGUAGGGCGCAAGCGUUAUCCGGAAUUAUUGGGCGUAAAGAGCUCGUAGGCGGUUUGUCGCGUCUGCCGGUGAAAGUCCGGGGCUCAACUCCGGAUACUGCGGUGGGUACGGGCAGACUAGAGUGAUGUAGGGGAGACUGGAAUUCCUGGUGUAGCGGUGAAAUGCGCAGAUAUCAGGAGGAACACCGAUGGCGAAGGCAGGUCUCUGGGCCGAUACUGACGCUGAGGAGCGAAAGGCGUGGGGAGCGAACAGG